rnacentral:lncRNA from 1 species
ACUGAUGUCUGUGUAUGAGAGCCAGGAGGGCUACAGCAGACUUCCCAGUAGUCACCUGGGAUGUGAUAUUGCUGUGGGCAGGUAUUGCCUGGGGUAUUUCUUCUCAUAGGAUUCCCUCCCACUCUUCAGCAAAGUGCACAGCAGAAUGAAAGAAGGUGAUACAGGGAGGCCAGAGGGGCUGCAAUGGGAGAAAUGCCCUUCCCCCAGGAAGAGAAUGCCUUCCCUCCCUAGAGAGCAGGACUUUGUCAUGGAGAACACUCUGGGCUAUUUAGAAAUGGGCACUUGUCCCUUCUCCCUGCCAGAGCCAGAGGGGAUCUUUCUUGAGAACCUAGUGGGGCUCUGGAAGUAAACCCCGUCGAUGUCCCACAACACAGCUCUGCCUGGCAGUUGUCUGAGCACCAGCAGCCAACAGAAAUGUCUUCCUGCCUAAGAGAUCGAACUUCAUGGUUCCUUGACCUCCAACAAGGAUGAGUCUUUUCUAGAGUUUAAGGAGAAAGGUAGCAGUGGAGGGAAAUGAGAUUUGAUGAGUAGAUGGGGCCCAGGCCAGGAAAAGGACUUUGGAUUUUGUUCAGUGUCUGUUCUAUAAGCAGUGGGGAACCACCUAAGAAAAGGGUUGGAAGAGAAGUGAAAGAGACUUUCAGAUUUGCAUUUCCAAAAGGUCACUCCAUGCAAGUGGAUUUGAGGAGAAUGAGUUGAGUCUAUUUCAGUCAUGAGGCCAGAGACAGACGGGCCGUGAACUAGGGUGUUAGCCCUGGAAAUGAGGAGGAGUUUAAGGAUCCAAGAAAAGUGAAGGAACAGCAAGCCAGUAGAUGGUGGCAGAAAAAGGCACAGAGUCAGGACAGGGCUAACAUGUGGCAGCUCCAGAGUCCCCAAACCUCUUCCCAGAACUGCCCCAUGGAACCUCCUCACCAGCACAGCUGGUCUUUCUCUUCUUCCAAGGAGACAGUGAAGGAUGGCAUGGAGGUGCCUUCAGAACUCUAUGCACCAUCAUGUGCAAGUGUCAGCGUGUUCACAGAUAAUUGCUAAGCAGUCUAGUCAGAUUCUAAUCACUCC